rnacentral:rRNA from 1 species
ACCGUAAACGAUGACAACCAGCGAUUAGUCGGCGUUAAUAUAUGACCCGACUAGCAGCUUCCGGGAAACCAAAGUUUUUCGUUUCCGGGGGAAGUAUGGUUGCAAAGCUGAAACUUAAAGGAAUUGACGGAAGGGCACCACCAGGAGUGGAGCCUGCGGCUUAAUUUGACUCAACACGGGAAAACUCACCCGGCCCGGACACUGUAAGGAUUGACAGACUGAGAGCUCUUUCUUAAUUCAGUGGGUGGUGGUGCAUGGCCGUUCUUAGUUGGUGGAGCGAUUUGUCUGGUUAAUUCCGAUAACGAACGAGACUCUGGCCUAUUAAAUAGACGGUAUAUAUAAAAGUAUGCCGCGCUUCUUAGAGGGACAAGCGGCGUCUAGCCGCAUGAAAUAGAGCAAUAACAGGUCUGUGAUGCCCUUAGAUGUCCGGGGGCUGCACGCGCGCUACACUGAAAGAAUCAGCGGGCGCAUUACCUAGUUCGGAAGAACCGGGUAACCCAAGUAAAUUCUUUCGUGCUUGG